CGGGGACUGUUGGUGCUAGUUAGAAGGCAGACCUGUACCUGCUUUAAAAAUAUAUGAAUUAGACAUUUUUAGCUAUUAAUUUGCUUGCUAUCUUAGAAUUUGGAAGAUAUAUCAGUAGCUUUGGAUGGUUCACUUCUAUUCAGGAACUGUUUCCAGAAAGAUCAAGAUUAUGAUUUUUCUUUAUAUGUAAAUUUGCUGAUAACAAGAGGUAAUUUUGCCAACCUUAUAGCAACUGUUAAUUUGAGAUUGCUGUUUUCAUUAAGACAUUUUGAAGUCUCCAAAUAUUUGUGAACACCAUUGUGGACUUUGUGAGAUUCUGGGGUCCAGAAUUCCCCUGAGGCAGCUAUCAUUUACCUUCUCUUCAUUUGUUUCUCUUCCCAGACCCAUCCUGAUCAACAUAAAACAGACUUGAAGAGAAAACAAUUCAUUAAAAGAUGGAAUUGGGAGAUGAUAGAAAAGACAAAGCAUUGACUUGGAUGGGCUGCUCUGGGAGAACCACGCUCCCUCAGAGCUCCCAGCUCCUGCUGAGCUAGUGCCUCCAUCAUCUCUCUUCAGCCACGGUCAUGAUCACAUAACCAGACCUCAUCAGCCAUGAUGAGAUGUUCUACAAUAUCUAUAAGAUCCGGAAGAUGGGCCAUGGGCUGUGCCUACCGGUGGAGGGAAAAGGGUCCCCACGUUCAUCUUCCUAUUUCAUCAGUGGCACCUGACAGUGGAGCAGAUAACUCAGAGUCAGGAUACCAAAGGAGGCAGGACUUUUGUGGAAAGGAGCAGGAGUUACAAGAACUGAAAAACUAUGGAAUUCUAAGGGAGAGAGGGAACAGAUGCACAGAGAAGGCUCGCUGCUGGUUGUGAUGUAAGAACACAUAGAUAGGUGUGGUCGUAUAGUUCAAAGACAUGAGACAAAGAGGUUUCCUAAUAUUGAAACUGCAUGAGAACGUGUUGUGAGGUAAAUUGGGAUCCAUGGUGGUGAAAGAAUCAAGUGAAUGCCUGAAAUAGCUACCUGAGCCAUUGAGCAAAAGAAGCUGUAAGCAAUGAAAAGCACCCAGUACUGCAGGGAGGUGGCAUGGGAUAGGCGGGCUUCUUUCUCGUGUUUCCGUACAAACACCUGUUUGUUGAAAGGCAGCUUAUUAUGUGUACAACCCCACGGUGAGUACUACAUCCCCAUGAUCACCUGAUGUAGCCCUUGCUCUCUUGAAAAAAUUCAAGUACAUAAAAGGUUGCAUAAAAGGUAGUGAAGAAAAGGGUGGCUGUGGAAAGGGAGGUGGACCUGGAAGCAUUUGGGGAAUGGGCCACUGGGAUGGACAUGACCACUGAGUGUCACUUGAAGGCAGAACAGAUCAGCGGUGACUAUGCAGAGCUGAACCCUGAUGUUAGCAUCUCAGCGGACUUUUUUUUUUUAGUUGUGCUCUGCAAGUUUAAUGUCAAAGAUUGUAAAGAUGCCCAAAACACACACACAUCCACGUAUACAUCCACACACACUAUUAAGACACAGUACUUUUUGGGGUCAUGGAACUUCUUCCUUCUGCAAUAAGAUGCAGUGAACAUUUGUCAUCUCGCUGGUCUCCUCGUGUCUGAACCUCCUUCCUAUGUUUGGGAAUUUCUCACAUUAUAGGGUAUAGAUCUUAUUCCUCAUAGACACUAAAAUGGCAGACAUUUUCUCCUCCAGCCUCCAUUGUAGCACUGGCCAGAUGACCCAGGUUCUGCCAAACACAUUACUGAAUUGAAAGCUAGCAAGGUGAAGAAGCAAG
rnacentral:lncRNA from 1 species